rnacentral:rRNA from 1 species
UGAGUACCGGUUGUGACGCUAGCCAUCCUUCGGGAGAGCGCGCGGUGCUUAACGGCGCUGCGCGCCAUCUCGAUCCUUUACUUUGAACAAAUUAGAGUGUUUAAAGCAGGCUAAUGCCUUGAAUACCUUAGCAUGGAAUAAUAAGAUAGGACUUUUGGCCUAUUUUGUUGGUCUUUAGGACAAGAGUAAUGAUUGAUAGGGACAGUUGGGGGUGCUAGUAUUGAAUGGCCAGAGGUGAAAUUCUUGGAUUCAUUCAAGACUAACUAAUGCGAAAGCAUUCACCAAGGAUGUCUUCUYUAAUCAAGAACGAAAGUUGGGGGAUCGAAGACGAUCAGAUACCGUCGUAGUCUCAACCAUAAACUAUACCGACUAGGGAUGAGUGGACGUUGUUUUUUACUGACUCCA